CCUCUUACCUACUCAUGCUCACACUUAAUUCAGAGGUAACUUGACUCAGAAUUGAGAUACCCAGUUUAUAACUUCUUUUCUGAAACCCAAAACCCUGAAUAUCACAGAGCCAGCUCUUUCAUUCUCUGUCUGCUAGGAAGCAGAGAGACGUUGGAGUCGGGGAUAUAAUCCUGCAGCCAUGUCUCAGUAAAACUUAUUAUACUGCGUUCCAUAUAGCAUUGUUGAGUCCUUGUCAAGGCUUGAAGUUCUUCCAGCUUGUUGGCUAACGAUUUCACAUUGCGCAUUAUGAUGGAUGGAAGAGAUGGUUUGAACUUCCUCCUCGUCCUCCUUGGUGCCUCCUUCUCAACUCCUCUGCGAUUUCUGACUUCAGUUGUGGUAUUAUUUCAGCUUUUGCAUUGUUAAUCAGCUGCUCCCUGCUGUAAACCACCCUGUUUCUAUGGUUAUGCAUCAUAACAAAGAAGCAAAGUAUAAAAAGUUUGGGGAAAAAUCAGUCCAGCUACAGCAUCCAAAACAAGAAGGAAAAGUUGACAAAAAAAAAAAAAAAAAA